AGACGGUCCUGGUUGGUACCUGAAGAGACCCUCUCUGUGUAUUUGGAAAUGACAGAAAAGACCAGAAGCAGGCAGGACAAUAAAAGUAACAAAGCACUCACGAGUCACACUGUUGUUUGAUAGACUUCUGUUUAAUUUAUACCGUACUUCCAUUGUACUAGCUACUUACAUGGAGUUUUGGCUGCAUAGCCUUUACAAUUCCUAGGUUCUAGCAGGUAAGUUUCAUCAUCAUUUCCUCGCGUUUUGCGCACAGCGCAAACCUGAUGACAGUUCAACAACUCCUAAAACAAAACCACGGGUCCUCCCCCAGCCCACCCUGAAGUUCAUGGCGGUGCUGCAGGCUGUGGCCAACAGCCCUCUGCUUCCCUGGCCCUGGUGCUGAAAUCCAGAAGGGGAAUGCACACCCAUGGGUUUCUGUAUGACCGUUCCCUCGCCUUGCUGACACGAGGAGAUCCUCAUUAAUCUGCAAUUGCGGCAGCGAUCGGGGUUGCAGGAUGUGGGGCUCAGGUGGGCAGAACACACUCCAGGGUGUUUAUAGCAGCUUUACCCAGCCCUGGAGCGCGUGAUGAGAUGAACUGCAGUGAGAGUGACCAUGUCCCAGAGGUGCCACAGCCACACAGUGCCAGUCCUGGUGGUCAGAGAUGUACGCUGCGAUGGUUCUGCUGCUCCUCCCUCUGCUCUGAGCUCGUCGGGCCAAGAGCCAGGUUAGUGCUGCUGUAUCUGCUCUGCGAAGUGCUAUCCCAAGGGAGGUGGGCUUGCAAAGACUGGAAUGCACGUGUGUGGUGCAGGCUCCACCUCUUUGCUGGGUAGAGCUGCUUUGCAACAGCCGUUCUCCCACCUCCUUACACUGCUGGGGCAAUUUGGGCCAAGACUGAGACACGACCAAGCGGCUGUAGAACCUGAGCUGCACAUUUGUUUUAUUCCCUAACGAUUCUUGGAGUUUGGGUUGGGGAAGGGUGGCCAUUUAACGUUAGCAAUGGAAUUGGCCUACAUGAGUGAGGUAACAGAAACGGCCAGAGGAGGUACCUCCCUGAGCCAUGUGCAAAUAUAACUCCUUCCGCAGAAGGAAGUCUUUUCCCUACUGAAGAAAAUAAGAAAACAAACAAAACACAUUCACUUAAAGGGCGUACAGACUGCAUCAAGGGAAGGCAAGCGGGGACAGCACCAGGUCAGUCCAUCCAUGACAAAGGGAAUGAUUGUCCGGCAGCAGAGGUGUGUGGGGAGAGGGAAAAGCCAUAGCAAGCCCUGCAAAACGUGUGGGAGAGGGGAGCAUGGCCCACCAGGAUCCAUGCAGAGGGUUGAAGCCCAUGCUGUCUGGCUAGGUCAGGGAAUAAUCUCAGUCGGCAGUCAAUAAAGACAUGAGGAUAUUAUUUGGCCAGUGUGCACAUCUAAAAAAGAAACGUAUUAUGGCACAAAGAGAAUCGUGCAGGGGAGGGUGCAAAGCACAGGGAUCAGAGCAUGCCAGGCAGAGGGAACGGGCCAGAAAGUCAGCACAGUUACACCUCAGCAACUACACUGAUACAAAUGUUUUGCAAGCUACUUACCUCAGGUGCUUUGGUUUAAGAGUCUCUGUUUUGAGUUGUUUUUAAGCAAGCCCCUGCUGGAUAUUUAAACUAGUACUGAGACUGUCUGAAAAGACUGAGCCAGAAUCUACACGAACCCACCAUGAAACUUCUCAAUGGCAGCAGACCCUGCUGGAAUGAUCUCUAUGUUGAGCACAUACUUCAGAGUUCUGCCAACACAGUUCUGCCAGCUGCCCUGAGAAACAUGACAGAAUUGCCCCUCCUGCCCCUAGCCAGCAGUGCUGCGAGCACUGAGCAAUGCAGCUUCAGCUCUGUGCCACUUCCAGUGUUCUGUGGAACCAGAAAUUCCUAGCUUUUAAAUUAGAAAGUCGUCAGCCUGUUAUCCUGGUUGGGAAAAGGAAACUCAGAUAGAGAGCUACCUGAUUGUAUGCUGGAAAAUGGGUAGUUUGGUACAUACCUCACCUGGGAGCAAGCAUAGAAAUGCACUAGGGAUGUUCUUGUAGAGAAGUACUCUUGAGAGCAUGGCCUCUUCACAGUGGCAGCAGAGUAGGACUCAGCAUGUUAGUUAGCCACACGUUAUAAAGGAAUACCUUUUGGGGUCAGAGCCUCUUCCCAGAUCACUGCAGUAGGCCUGGGGACCAGCAUUCACAGAGGGGUUUGUCAUACGUGUGAACUUGCUUUCUAACUUGAUGUAAAUGAACUCUAUGUAAAUGAACCCAGGAGGAAGAAGAGCCUCAAAAGUUUUCCCACUCUGAGUAGUAUGGAGAGAACCACCUCAGCCUGGAGCUCUUUCCUGGUGCUGGAUAGGGUGCAAGCUGCAGGCUGCCCUCUCUGUCCCCUCUCUUCAGGUGCUUCUGAAAUACAGAUCUGAGAAGGCAAAGCUAGCAGGAAAGGAAGAGGGAUAAGGGCCAUGGGACAAGGAGGGACUGCACUCAGCACACUGUGAAGCCUCUGUGUCUGCACAGAAAUCACUGCAGAGCAUAUCCAAAAGGUCUCAUCUUAAGUACUGGCACUAAGUGUUCCCAGUUGCUAAUUGGAAAAUGAACUUUCUACUGGCUCCUAUAAAGGUGGGGAAAAGCAUAUUUGUGCAGGCUAGGUAGUUUUGUGCUGAGGGAUGAGCAGGCUGAAGUAUGUCCCCAUCUACACCCAAGUGAGCUUCUGAAACAAACGGUCUGUCUGAUGGGAAAAGUGCUCAAAUUCACCUUGAGCUCAUCUCAGAUGCCAUAACCCAAACGUUUCCUUUUAGGUAACCAUUAGAAGGUAUGUAUUUAUUAAAAUUCUGUCAAGCUAGGAUUAGUGAUGCAUUCUUCUCCUACAGAAGCAGGUGAUAUAGACUAACGGGCAAGAUGGCUUUGUCAUCUCCCUCCUGCUGAUAGGUAGCAUCUUACUUGGCACAAAUUAGGUUACUCUCUGUUGGCAUGAAUGUGCACGUUUGGCUGGAGCCAUGUUUCUUUGACAGUCUCUUUUGUAGCUGCCAAAAUUCAGCAAAUCCAAACCCAGCUCCACUUGCUGGACAGAUUAUUUCUGUCAGACAUGUUAAACCCAGUUUAACAUGCAGGCAAAAUGAAUAGUAGUGCUUAAUACUUUUACAGCUGCCUGUGUGCAACCUCACAUUAAUUUGUCUCUAAGGCCAAGCCCAAGGAAGCUGUACCAGUGGGAACAUCCAGAACCCAACGUGACCGCAGUCUGCAGAGAUGCUGCAGAGGAAGGAGGAUGCACAUGCGAGCAAAGGGAUUUCUUGCCUCCAUAACCAGCAAGAGAAUGUCAGCUUGUGCCAAUUCGAGCUAGAGACCAACGGACACAUGAGACCUGCACCAUUUCUUGUGGGAACACACAGCUGACUCCUUCCUGCCAUCUAGGAGUGGACAUGUCCUGCUUCUGAACAAAGGUUCUCGACAAAGGUGGAGACUGAGUGCCUUGCAUGUCACCUACCCUACCGGGCUGGGUAAGAUGAGAAAGCAUUUAUUAAUUGCUUACUUGGGCACCCCCCAUCCCACCCAGUGCACAGUCCCUCUUUCCCUCAUGUGGCUGCUAAUGGGAAUCUGGAGAAAUGCCCUAGAAAGUAGUAAAAAUGCAUGCUGUUUUUUUUAAUGCAGGUCUGCCACCUGACUUGCUUAGGGAGCCAAUGCAGUGCUAUCUAGCUUAGGAGAGAUCCCAGUCACUACCUUACACUGUGGAUAACAGCCAGGUCUAUCCCACGCCCCUUGGCAGUACUUUUUCUGUCUUCUUUUUUGUUCCUUGGGGCCCUUCCUAAUCUCUCCUAGGCUGACGGAGGCCCUGCAGCUGUAGAUGCAGUCAUGUAAGUAUCAAAAGCAAAGAUAUCCUUUUGCUGUCACCGCUGAAGGAAAAUAAUUUGUUUUCCUACGUAGCUCAGAAGUAAAGAUGAAGGCUAAGAGGUAUGAACAAAAUGAUCUCGCAGACCAGGGAUGAGAGGUGAAUUUACCAAGCAGGACACCAAGAGUAGUUCUGCUGUUUCCUUAGCUCUCCCACUCCACGUUGUGCUAACAGCACACAGCCUGGCAGGAAGGAGUGCUCACAUAUAAAUACUCAUUUUGGUUUUCUUUUGUAGCUGGGGCACUCUCCCUGUUGUGAGAAGUCCCACAGGCAGCCCUUAUCAGCACCGAUGUAGAUCUUCAGCACGGGGAUGGCUUAAUGGCAGGGGCCCAAGCACACAGAAAGCAGAGAACCACAGCAAAAGUAAAGGGGACACUGUCAAAAGAAAUGGAAGUGUGCUUUCUGCAGUGUGGCUCCCCCCCUUCCGAGCAUCGUGUGGGCAGACACUCCUGCUCCCCGCCAUCUCCUCAGCUAUUAAUGCACUAUCAAUUACAGGAGGAGGCAAACUAAGUGUUUGGAGGAAUCAUUUCAGGCUCGUUUACAUUCUGUGCUUUGCUCUCUGAACCAGGCUGGCCAGCAUGGCAGCAAAUUGCAUUUCUGCUCCAAGAGACGUAGAAGAUGAUUGCCAGGGAGACCUGCUCUCCACAGCCCUACAGCAAUUCCUCUGGAGGCCUCCUCUCCAAUCGGGGGAUCGUUUCAUAAGGGAUCGAUGGUGAUUGCCAAAACCUCUCUGCCCUGAAGCCAGCAAGGUAAGAAAGUUGACAGUGUUCCCUUUAUACGUGUAGAUACAUAUCAUCAGUCAGGGACCUUCAUGCGCAGGGAGGGGAGGGGCAUUCACUCUGAUGCUUCCCUUUGAAACAACAGAAACAGACAGACAGACAGACGAACAGCCAGGAAUAUUACAGAACAGUGGUGCAAACAGGCCCAGGGUAGCACACUUGGGUGCAUUCCUAAGCACACCUCAGUGCCAGGAGAGCACAGCCCUCCCAUACACACACACACACGCAACACACACACCCCACACUACCACUGAGACACUCCAUUUCAGCCAGUGUUGGAGGUCAGUCCUUCCUCUCGGUACGUAGGCUUUUUUUUUUUUUUCUCUUAAAAUCUGUAUAUAAUAUAUAUAUUUAUAUUCUGUAUAUAUAUUUAUAUAUAUAUAUAUAUAUUUAUAUAUCCUAUUUACACAUAUUGCACACCGUCCUCUGGCCUCCUGCAUUCCUGCCUGUUAGUGGAAACGUUUCCGUUUCUCCUCUGGAUCUGACCCGAAGUCCCGGGACCCGAUGCC
rnacentral:lncRNA from 1 species